GUGAUGGGAUGCUGACAACAACACAACAGGUGAAGAUGGCUCACAACUAAUGAUGCUGUCAUGCUGAAUAAAGUCAGUUCCAAAUGGAUUUGCUU